CUAUUACCUAUCGAUUUCUUCAAUAAAAACGUAACGAACAAGAAUUCCAUUAUACUGAUACAUCGCUCUACAUAGUUGGAGAAAGUUUAGUCUGUCUAAUCAAUUCGAUCGAAGCACAAUGGUUACUCUAAAAUUGGCUGCAACCUGUGCAGUGCUCGUGUUUUGUUUGACGCUCCAGUCUACAAUUGCUAGUCCAGCAAAAGCAUCUAAUCGCAGCGAACAAUACUGUUCAAAUUAUCCUACCGUCAAAAUAGUAAACUGUCCGGAAAAUGAGGAGUUCGAUUGCUGUGGUGAAUGUGUGCAGCAGAGCUGUGAUUAUCGUGAUACCAACCAGUGGAAUUGCUUCCAGUGUCCUUCCGAAUGCGUCUGCAAGGCGGGAUUCAUUCGUAGGACCCAAGGAGGAGAGUGCAUCCCGUUUUAUGAUUGUCCCAAGCAAUAUUGAUCAAAUUAAAUGUGGAACCGUUCUAUAAUUUAUCAAUCUA